CCAGACUCCUACGGGAGGCAGCAGUGGGGAAUAUUGCACAAUGGGGGGAACCCUGAUGCAGCGACGCCGCGUGAGUGAAGAAGUAUUUCGGUAUGUAAAGCUCUAUCAGCAGGGAAGAAAAUGACGGUACCUGACUAAGAAGCCCCGGCUAACUACGUGCCAGCAGCCGCGGUAAUACGUAGGGGGCAAGCGUUAUCCGGAUUUACUGGGUGUAAAGGGAGCGUAGACGGCUAUGCAAGUCUGAAGUGAAAGGCCGGGGCCCAACCCCCGGACUGCAUUGGAAACUGUAUAGCUAGAGUGCAGGAGAGGUAAGUGGAAUUCCUAGUGUAGCGGUGAAAUGCGUAGAUAUUAGGAGGAACACCAGUGGCGAAGGCGGCUUACUGGACUGUAACUGACGUUGAGGCUCGAAAGCGUGGGGAGCAAACAGGAUUAGAUACCCGGGUA
rnacentral:rRNA from 1 species